GGUGGAAAAAAUAGAGAGAUGUUGGUAAAAGGGUACUAACUUUCAGUUAUUAGAUGAAUAAGUUCUGAGGAUCUAAUGUAUACCAUGGUGAUUACAGUUAACA